rnacentral:tRNA from 1 species
GGGUAUAUAGCUCAGUGGUAGAGUGCAUGCCUAGCAUGUAGGAGGUCCUGGGUUCAAUCCCCAGCACCUCCA